UUUAUGGUGAUCGGGUAUCUGAAUUUACAAUUGACACUGUUCAAUACGAUAUAACCAUUUUAAACUUUAGAAAAACUGAAUUUCAUAAUUUUACGAUAUUACUUACCUAGUAAUCCAGCGGUCACAAAUACACCUUAGAACCACUUGACUAUAGACGUUGAAAUAUUAUAAAAUUUAAUUUCUAUGAAGUUUAAAUCGCUCAAAUCAUAUUCACUGAUGCUAAUUGUCAAUUCGAAUUAAUGUCCC
rnacentral:lncRNA from 1 species